rnacentral:rRNA from 1 species
AGGCAGCAGGGGGAAAGCGCAAGGGCGAAAGCGACGCAGCAACGCCGCGGGGGAGAAGGCCCGGGCGAAUACCGCAGGAGGAACGAACAGGGAAGAACAAACCAGAGACGGACCCCAGAGGAAGCACCGGCAACCC